rnacentral:ncRNA from 1 species
AGAACCUGCCUGUUGGACGGGGACAACAGUUGGAAACGACUGCUAAUCCCGGAUGAGCCGAGAGGUAAAAGAUUAAUCGCCAACAGAGGGGCUUGCGUCUGAUUAGCUAGUUGGUGUGGUAAGAGCGCACCAAGGCGACGAUCAGUAGCUGGUCUGAGAGGAUGAUCAGCCACACUGGGACUGAGACACGGCCCAGACUCCU